AACGAACGCUGGCGGCAGGCCUAACACAUGCAAGUCGAGCGCGCCCUUCGGGGUGAGCGGCGGACGGGUGAGUAACGCGUGGGAACGUGCCCUUUUCUACGGAAUAGCCUCGGGAAACUGAGAGUAAUACCGUAUACGCCCUUUGGGGGAAAGAUUUAUCGGAAAAGGAUCGGCCCGCGUUGGAUUAGGUAGUUGGUGGGGUAAUGGCCUACCAAGCCGACGAUCCAUAGCUGGUUUGAGAGGAUGAUCAGCCACACUGGGACUGAGACACGGCCCAGACUCCUACGGGAGGCAGCAGUGGGGAAUCUUAGACAAUGGGGGCAACCCUGAUAUAGCCAUGCCGCGUGAGUGAUGAAGGCCUUAGGGUUGUAAAGCUCUUUCAGCUGGGAAGAUAAUGACGGUACCAGCAGAAGAAGCCCCGGCUAACUCCGUG
rnacentral:rRNA from 1 species